UGCCCCGUGAUGAGACCCAUCCUUGCGCUAUGAGGAUUCGCAGCAAUGCAUGCUGGGAAUGUGAAGGUCACCCGGGGGUUCCCGGGCCCUGCCCAGUGGGGAAGGACCUGGGGACUGAGGGCA
ensembl:snoRNA